rnacentral:rRNA from 1 species
AUUGAACGCUGGCGGCAUGCCUUACACAUGCAAGUCGAACGGCAGCAUGAUCUAGCUUGCUAGAUUGAUGGCGAGUGGCGAACGGGUGAGUAAUACAUCGGAACGUGCCCUGUAGUGGGGGAUAACUAGUCGAAAGAUUAGCUACUACCGCAUACGACCUGAGGGUGAAAGUGGGGGACCGCAAGGCCUCAUGCUAUAGGAGCGGCCGAUGUCUGAUUAGCUAGUUGGUGAGGUAAAGGCUCACCAAGGCGACGAUCAGUAGCUGGUCUGAGAGGACGAUCAGCCACACUGGGACUGAGACACGGCCCAGACUCCUACGGGAGGCAGCAGUGGGGAAUUUUGGACAAUGGGCGAAAGCCUGAUCCAGCAAUGCCGCGUGUGUGAAGAAGGCCUUCGGGUUGUAAAGCACUUUUGUCCGGAAAGAAAUGGCUCUGGUUAAUACCUGGGGUCGAUGACGGUACCGGAAGAAUAAGGACCGGCUAACUACGUG